rnacentral:rRNA from 1 species
UACGUAGGCAGCGAGCGUUGUUCGGAGUUACUGGGCGUAAAGGGUGUGUAGGCGGUUGUUUAAGUUUGGUGUGAAAUCUCCCGGCUUAACUGGGAGGGUGCGCCGAAAACUGCGGGGGCUGGAGUGUGGGAGAGGUAGGCGGAAUUCCUGGUGUAGCGGUGAAAUGCGUAGAUAUCAGGAGGAACACCGGUGGUGUAGACGGCUUACUGGACCAUGACUGACGCUGAGGCACGAAAGCGUGGGGAGCAAACAGG